UACAGAGGGGGCAAGCGUUGUUCGGAAUUACUGGGCGUAAAGGGCGCGUAGGCGGCCUGCUAAGUCGAACGUGAAAUCCCUGGGCUCAACCCAGGAACUGCGUCCGAUACUGGUUGGCUUGAAUCCGGGAGAGGGACGUGGAAUUCCAGGUGUAGCGGUGAAAUGCGUAGAUAUCUGGAGGAACACCGGUGGCGAAGGCGGCAUCCUGGACCGGUAUUGACGCUGAGGAGCGAAAGCCAGGGGAGCAAACGGG
rnacentral:rRNA from 1 species